rnacentral:rRNA from 1 species
AGAGUUUGAUCCUGGCUCAGAUUGAACGCUGGCGGCAUGCCUUACACAUGCAAGUCGAACGGCAGCACGGAGCUUGCUCUGGUGGCGAGUGGCGAACGGGUGAGUAAUAUAUCGGAACGUACCCUAGAGUGGGGGAUAACGUAGCGAAAGUUACGCUAAUACCGCAUACGAUCUACGGAUGAAAGUGGGGGAUCGCAAGACCUCAUGCUCAUGGAGCGGCCGAUAUCUGAUUAGCUAGUUGGUAGGGUAAAAGCCUACCAAGGCAUCGAUCAGUAGCUGGUCUGAGAGGACGACCAGCCACACUGGAACUGAGACACGGUCCAGACUCCUACGGGAGGCAGCAGUGGGGAAUUUUGGACAAUGGGCGAAAGCCUGAUCCAGCAAUGCCGCGUGAGUGAAGAAGGCCUUCGGGUUGUAAAGCUCUUUUGUCAGGGAAGAAACGGUUGUCUCUAAUACAGAUGGCUAAUGACGGUACCUGAAGAAUAAGCACCGGCUAACUACGUGCCAGCAGCCGCGGUAAUACGUAGGGUGCAAGCGUUAAUCGGAAUUACUGGGCGUAAAGCGUGCGCAGGCGGUUAUGUAAGACAGAUGUGAAAUGCCCGGGCUUAACCUGGGAACUGCAUUUGUGACUGCAUGGCUAGAGUUUGGCAGAGGGGGGUAGAAUUCCACGUGUAGCAGUGAAAUGCGUAGAUAUGUGGAGGAACACCGAUGGCGAAGGCAGCCCCCUGGGUCAAGACUGACGCUCAUGCACGAAAGCGUGGGGAGCAAACAGGAUUAGAUACCCUGGUAGUCCACGCCCUAAACGAUGUCUACUAGUUGUCGGGUCUUAAUUGACUUGGUAACGCAGCUAACGCGUGAAGUAGACCGCCUGGGGAGUACGGUCGCAAGAUUAAAACUCAAAGGAAUUGACGGGGACCCGCACAAGCGGUGGAUGAUGUGGAUUAAUUCGAUGCAACGCGAAAAACCUUACCUACCCUUGACAUGGUUGGAAUCCCUGAGAGAUUGGGGAGUGCUCGAAAGAGAACCAGUACACAGGUGCUGCAUGGCUGUCGUCAGCUCGUG